rnacentral:rRNA from 1 species
UACGGAGGGUGCGAGCGUUGUCCGGAAUCACUGGGCGUAAAGGGUGCGUAGGCGGGUCUUUAAGUCAGGGGUGAAAUCCUGGAGCUCAACUCCAGAACUGCCUUUGAUACUGAAGAUCUUGAGUUCGGGAGAGGUGAGUGGAACUGCGAGUGUAGAGGUGAAAUUCGUAGAUAUUCGCAAGAACACCAGUGGCGAAGGCGGCUUACUGGUCCGGAACUGACGCUGAGGUGCGAAAGCGUGGGGAGCAAACAGGG